CUAGUUUAUCAGGUUUCAUGCAAAAUCUAAAUAUUUUUAAACGAGAUGAACACGUCAUGUGAAUGCUACUGUUAUUUAGGUUAGGUUUGGAUACCAGAAAACAUCUCAUCUCAUCUCAUCUGAUUAUUACAACUUUUUAAAACUCCUAUACAAAAUGUAAUAAACAAUUUAACUUUUUUAAAUUCUAAAAUAAUAAUAAUAUUUUAAUGAUGUUUAUUAUUUUCUAAGAAUAUGAAUACCACAUGAGCUUCUAAUACCACAUAUCUAUCUCUCUUUGUGUUAAACAUGAAUUCAAUUCAGUCAACAAUUAGAGAGAAUAUAAUUUAAAUUGUGUUAUAUCUAUUAUAGAAAGAAAAAAAGAUGGUUUAACAUUGUUUCCGAAUAAUUGAUG